GCUGCCGAUCGCCCAGUCACUCUCACUAUCAACGUACGGCAUAGUUUUUCUCGAGUGACCGUAGCGAACAGUUUGAUAGUGAAACUGUAUUAUUUAACCUGUUUUUAUCUCAUCAUUAUAUGAUAAAAGGCUUUUGUCGAUGGGAGUCUGCUCUCCGAUAAAAGACUUUUGUGAUGCUUAGAUAAAAACAUUUUUUCUUGUAUGUGUGAAUAACGAAACAAUAUAAAAUUAACGAUGACGCCACGGCGUGUGAAGCAGUGGGUUGGCAGUAAUAAACUGCUGGUCGUUGUCGGAUUGCUGGCCUUGUGCUUCUGCAUAUCCACGGUAGCACUCGCUGUGAGGGGAACUACCUGCAAACGGGACCUAGAUGGGAGGAGUCUAAGUAAACUUUCACUAGUGAAUAAUAAAGCUGGGAGCAUGAAUUACAGGCUUCCAAGACACGUAAUACCGAAAAAUUACAAAUUGAGACUGGAGCCAACACUGAAAGGCCGCAACAAAACAUUUACGGGCUCCGUCAAAAUUCAACUUGAUAUACUACAACCCACGCAAAACGUGACUUUGCAUUCCAAUAAACUCCGUAUUAAAUUCGUGGAUUUAAAAAGAGACGAUGAUUUGAAUAAACAUACUAUCGGAACAGAGAAUAAUAUCGACGACAGAAGAGAGAUGUUAAUAAUAAGAACGGAGAAAGAGUUAUCAAGAGGCCUUUAUACGUUGAGGAUAGUCUUCUCGGGUAAGCUUGGGGGAUUGGUUGGAUUCUACGGGAGCACACUAAAAAACGGCAGGACAAUGGUGGCAAGCAAGUUUCAGCCAACAUAUGCCCGGCAAGCGUUCCCCUGCUUUGAUGAGCCGGACUUCAAGGCAACUUAUGAUAUCACUCUUGUAAAACCGGAGAAUUAUAUAGCCCUCUCCAAUAUGAAUGAAAUAUCCAGAUCUCGUGAUGAUAAAACAUCCUCAGAUGUUGUGACAUUUGCCACUAGCGUUCCCAUGUCAACAUACUUAGCUUGCUUUGUGAUCUGUGACUUCGCCUCCAAAGAAACAGAGAUCAACUCCAAUGGUAUAGGAAGCAACUUUAUAUUGAGAUCAUUUGCGCAGAAGAAUGAGACACACAAAAUCGAUUUUGCUCAGAGUAUUGGGAAGAGAGCCACUGAGUUCUAUAUACAGUAUUAUGAAGUGCCAUUUCCUCUGCCAAAACUAGACAUGAUAGCCAUCCCCGACUACAUAUCGGGGGCCACGGAGCACUGGGGCCUGGUGACGUACCGCGAGACCUCGUUCCUGGUGGACGAGGCCACGGCCUCGGCGCAGAACAAGAUCGCCGUGGCCAACACCAUCACGCACGAGCUGGCGCACAUGUGGUUCGGCAACUUGGUGACUAUGAAAUGGUGGGACGACUUGUGGCUGAACGAGGGCUUUGCGUCCUACAUGCAGGUCAAGUGUUUGAACGCCAUCGAGCCUUCUUGGACUAUGCUGGAUCAAUUCUUGAAAGGGAUGCAAACCGUGAUGGUGACGGACGCGACGCUCUCGAGUCAUCCCAUCGUGCAAACUGUAGAGACGCCCGAUCAGAUCACAGCCAUAUUCGACACCAUUUCUUACAAGAAGGGUUCAUCAGUACUACGUAUGCUGGAAGGUUUCAUAGGCGAGGAGAGUUUCCGGCGGGGCGUGUCUGACUACCUUAAGAAGCACAAGUUCGGGAACACGGUCACGCAGGACCUGCUCGCCUCGCUGGAGCCCUACUUCAAGAAGGCCAACCCCGAUCUUAAUCUUACGUACAUAAUGGACACAUGGACGCGUCAGAUGGGCUACCCGGUACUGACGGUGACCAGGACGGACACCUCCUACCGCGUCACGCAAUCGCGCUUCCUCUUGGACCCGGAGGCGGAGUCACCUAAUGAUUCCGCUUAUAAUUACAGGUGGUUCGUGCCUGUUACGUACAAAACGAAUAACGGCGUAAACGAAAAAGUCAUCUGGUUCGGAGAUAAAAAGGAUAACGUUGAAAUAUCGGAGCCGAACGCUACCUGGCUCAAGAUAAACAACAACCAAGUGGGGUACUACCGGGUGAACUACCCGCACGAGAUGUGGCAGAGCUUGGUGGAGCAGCUGAAGGCGGGAUCUGAUCAGCUAACGAUAUCCGACCGCUCGCACUUGCUGGACGACGUGUCGGCGCUGGCCGAAGCCGGCCUCGUGCCGUACUCGCUCGCCCUCCACCUGACCACCUACCUCAGUGUGGAGGAGGCCUAUGUGCCGUGGCAGACCGCCGCCGGUAUAUUCGGCGAUCUGUCAAAGAGGCUGCUGAACACACCCGCCCAUGAUGAUCUCAAGCAAUACAUGCAUGAACUUGUCAAGCCAAUUUUUACUAAAGUGGACGAAGGAUCUGAAAAUUCGGGAGUGAUUGAGCGUCUCCUACGUACCACGAUUCUGUCGCUGGCGACUAAAGCGGAGCUCCCGGAAGCGCAGAGCAAGGCGCGGCGGAUGUUCCUCGAGUGGCUGAACAGCCACGACUCCGGGCCCGUGAAGACUGUGGAGACGGACUUGAGGGACCUAGUGUAUUACCACGGUAUGAAACAGGGUACACAGGCAGAGUGGGACAAACUCUGGCAGAUCUAUAAGAGAGAAGAGGACGUACACGAACAGUCUAAGAUUAGGCAAGCGUUAGCGGCGCCGCGGGAUACGGCUAUACUCAGAAAGUAUCUCGACCUCGCGUGGGACGAAACCAACGUCCGCGCCCAAGACUACUUGAACGUCAUCCAAAUGAUCAGCAACAACCCAUCAGGCACCGAUCUGAUAUGGGACCACGUCCGCAACCGUUGGCCCUCGCUAGUGGAGCGUUACACGCUCAACAGUCGGACCCUGGGCGCUGUUGUACCGGGCGUCACUGACUCAUUCAACUCGGAAAGGGACCUCAAAGAGGUGAGAACACUACAACCCUUCAGGCACUCUAAUAUGGGAGGAUGUUCGCAAUCGUUGGCCCUCUCUAGCGGAGCGCUAUACGCUCAACAGUCGGACCCUGGGCGCCUUUGUACCGGGCGUCACUGACUCAUUCGACUCGGAAAGGGACCUCAAGGAGGUGAGAACACUACAACCCUUCAGGCACUCUAAUAUGGGAGGAUGAUCGUAAUCGUUGGCCCUCGCUAGUGGAGCGCUACACGCUCAACAGUCGGACCCUGGGCGCCGUUGUACCGGGCGUCACUGACUCAUUCAACUCGGAAAGGGACCUCAAAGAGAUGGAAGAUUUCUUCGCGAAGUACCCCGACGCGGGCGCGGGCGAGUCAGCGCGGAAACGCGCGCUUGAAACAGUUCGCAACAACAUCAAGUGGGCCUCGAAUAGAGCCCCCGCCGUAACCGCGUGGUUGCAAACAAGACGCGAGCAGCGCUCCACACAGAAAUCAUAACCUGUGGACCAUGUAGUACCCAUCAAAGUCAAAGUAAAAACAUUAUUUAAUCUCCUGCCUAGCAACUAGCAUUUUGGAAUAGUCAGAUAGGUACAUGGUAAAUUGCGCUAAAAAAGUUAAACUUCAAAUGGCUGUACGUAGUCCUGCAAGCCUAUUAUGGAUCGCUUUAUCCACAUUUAUCCACGUGAUAAAACAACUGUCACUUUUUAACUCUGCGGGAUAGAAAGAGGCGGACACCGUUUUAUCACGCUGUCACGUAGACAAAUACGACCAUCAUAUCCGUACAGCGCCCGUUAAUUCGUUUCUCAAUUGUCUAGUGGGAAAGCUUGACAUUGCAAAUUGAAAACUGAGUAGAUUAUGAAUUUAUGACGUCAUAAUAUUUAAUGUCCAAAUUUUAGAACAACUUUCAAUUUCUUUAUGGUGAGACCAGACGCCCAUGGAUACGGAUUUCCUUAAUUUUUAAGCAUUUUCUAAAAUAGUUGCCUACUGAAAGACUGCACAGAUCUUUGAGAAUGUUGUACUUAUACUCGUUUUAUUAAUGUUUCAAUAAAAUAUUUACCAUAA